GACGGAGGAUGCAAGUGUUAUCCGGAAUCACUGGGCGUAAAGCGUCUGUAGGUGGUUUAAUAAGUCAACUGUUAAAUCUUGAGGCUCAACCUCAAAAUCGCAGUCGAAACUAUUAGGCUAGAGUAUAGUAGGGGUAAAGGGAAUUUCUAGUGGAGCGGUGAAAUGCGUAGAGAUUGGAAAGAACACCGAUGGCGAAGGCACAUUACUGGGCUAAUACUAACACUCAGAGACGAAAGCUAGGGUAGCAAAUGGG
rnacentral:rRNA from 1 species